UACGGAGGUGGCAAGCGUUGUCCGGAUUUAUUGGGCGUAAAGGGAGCGCAGGCGGUGAUUUAAGUCUGAUGUGAAAGCCCAGAGCUCAACCGUGGAAUGGCAUUGGAAACUGGGUGACUUGAGUGCAGAAGGGGCAAGCGGAAUUCCAUGUGUAGCGGUGAAAUGCGUAGAGAUAUGGAGGAACCCCGGUGGCGAAGGCGGCUUUCUGGUCUGUAACUGACGCUGAGGCUCGAAAGCGUGGGUAGCAAACAGG
rnacentral:rRNA from 1 species